rnacentral:rRNA from 1 species
UACGUAGGUGGCAAGCGUUGUCCGGAUUUAUUGGGUUUAAAGGGUGCGUAGGCGGCCCUGUAAGUCAGUGCUGAAAUAUCCCAGCUUAACUGGGAGGGUGGCAUUGAUACUGCGGGGCUAGAGUACAGAUGAGGUAGGCGGAAUUGACGGUGUAGCGGUGAAAUGCAUAGAUAUCGUCAAGAACACCGAUAGCGAAGGCAGCUUACUAAGCUGUAACUGACGCUGAGGCACGAAAGUGUGGGGAUCAAACAGG